CCUACGGGUGGCAGCAGUGGGGGAUAUUGCACAAUGGGGGAAACCCUGAUGCAGCGACGCCGCGUGGGUGAAGAAGCGCCUCGGCGCGUAAAGCUCUGUCAGCAGGGAAGAAAAAGACGGUACCUGAAGAUGAACCCCCGGCGAACUACGUGCCAGCAGCCCCGGUAAUACGUAGGGGGAAAGCGUUAUCCGGUUUUACUGGGUGUAAAGGGGGCGCAGACGGCGAUGCAAGCCAGGAGGGAAAGCCCGGGGCCCAACCCCGGGACUGCUCUUGGAACUCCGUGGCUAGGGUGCAGGUGGGGAAGGCGGAAUUCCUGGUGUAGCGGUGAAAUGCGUAGAAAUCAGGAGGAACACCGGUGGCGAGGGCGGCCUGCUGGACUGCAACUGACGUGGAGGCCCGAAGGCGUGGGGAGCAAACAGGAUUAGAUACCCCAGUAGU
rnacentral:rRNA from 1 species